UACGAGAGGCCCAAACGUUAUUCGGAAUUACUGGGCUUAAAGAGUUCGUAGGCGGCAUUGCAAGUAGGGUGUGAAAGCCCUCGGCUCAACCGAGGAAUUGCGCUCUAAACUGCAGUGCUUGAGGAACCUAGAGGUGAGCAGAACAGAUGGUGGAGCGGUGAAAUGCGUAGAGAUCGGAAAGAACACCAACGGCGAAAGCACUCUGCUGGGCCGACACUGACACUGAGAGACGAAAGCUAGGGGAGCGAAUGGG
rnacentral:rRNA from 1 species